rnacentral:rRNA from 1 species
AGAGUUUGAUCCUGGCUCAGGAUGAACGCUAGCUACAGGCUUAACACAUGCAAGUCGAGGGGCAGCAUGGUCGUUGCUUGCAAUGACCGAUGGCGACCGGCGCACGGGUGAGUAACGCGUAUCCAACCUUCCCCCUACCCGGGUAUAGCCCGCCGAAAGGCGGAUUAAUCCCCGAUACGUCCCCUGACGGCAUCAGACGGGGACGAAAGGUUUUCCGGUAAGGGAUGGGGAUGCGUCCGAUUAGCUUGUUGGCGGGGUAACGGCCCACCAAGGCAACGAUCGGUAGGGGUUCUGAGAGGAAGGUCCCCCACAUUGGAACUGAGACACGGUCCAAACUCCUACGGGAGGCAGCAGUGAGGAAUAUUGGUCAAUGGGCGGAAGCCUGAACCAGCCAAGUAGCGUGCAGGAUGACGGCCCUACGGGUUGUAAACUGCUUUUUUGCGGGAAUAAAGCGGCUCACGCGUGGGCCUUUGCAUGUACCGCACGAAUAAGGACCGGCUAAUUCCGUGCCAGCAGCCGCGGUAAUACGGAAGGUCCGGGCGUUAUCCGGAUUUAUUGGGUUUAAAGGGAGCGCAGGCCGCCUUUCAAGCGUGCCGUGAAAUGCCUUGGCUCAACCAAGGCACUGCGGCGCGGACUGUUGGGCUUGAGUGCGCGGGACGUAGGCGGAAUUCGUGGUGUAGCGGUGAAAUGCUUAGAUAUCACGAAGAACCCCGAUUGCGAAGGCAGCCUACGGCAGCGCUACUGACGCUGAGGCUCGAAAGCGCGGGUAUCGAACAGGAUUAGAUACCCUGGUAGUCCGCGCGGUAAACGAUGG